ACACUGACUCUUCUAGAUAACAUUUUGCUGUCUCUGUCCCUACUUUCCUUUCUCCUACUCUGUCAGCUCACCUAAGGAAGGAGCCUCAUUUUAUACCAGGAACUAGAAUCUGUUCUUCCACCCCUCUUUGAAGCAGGUGAACUCAUAAAGCAACAACACACCGAAAUCUCUCAGAUACUUUAGAAGCUAUGGAGCCAGGAAGUAUCUGUCUCGGGGAACUAAUCCUGAUCACAUUGCUACACAAAUGUCCUGGCAACUUCACAUCAGCCCUGCUGGCCUCUGCAAACAUCCAGACGAACCAUUUAUCUCUGCACUUGUCACCUAGGAUUCUCUUCACGGAGGAAAAGUGUUUGGAAGAUCUGGGAGGAAAUAGAGUGACAUUUUUCUAAGUGUCUUCUGUCCAGAGACAAAGAGCUUUCUCUUAUACCUCAUAGGACAAUUGACCUGACAACAUGGAGCAGGUAGAAGAAGGAGAAAAUACGCUGAGAGCAGCUGACCAGAAGAGUCUAGGAAUCAACCAGUUAGAAGGCGUUGAGAAUCCCAGUCUGAUGAGGGAGGUCCUUCUGGGGUGAACACAUUACCAUGGUCCCAGGGAGGUGCAGCAGGAGGCUGCCCAGCCCCCUCCCUCAGCUCCACUCCCUUUUGAAGCCUAAUCAAUAAGAAUGUCACAGAGCACUUUUCUAAGAAGGGUAUGAUCCGUGAUUCAGGAAAAAGAGGGAGCACUUCAAGGCAAGUCGAUAACCCAAUCUCCUAGUGACUGGCUUUGCUGCCUGGAGUGUGGCGUGUUCAAAAUACCUGAUAGCGUCAGGUCCCCACCUGGAGUUUAUUCUCAAACUGCUUGAUUUCUAACUCAUUUCCAUUUGCGGCAAAACCAUUACACUAGUUGAUGCUAACAGGCGGGAAAUUGGGCCCCUAAGUUUGCUAAAUGAAAUAUUAUUUCUCCUGUGCCUUUCCACAUUACCAGCAGUUGCCUUUGCUUAUUUGGGGAAAAAACACAACAACAACAACAAACAACCCAAAGAACAUUUAACCUAAUCCCGGACAGCUCAGUAUGACAACUGCCACUGUCUUGUGGAACCCUUCUCGAUGCCCCUCCUUUGUUUACAAGACAAAUAAUCCCAGAAUUUCCCUCUCGGUUGAGCAUUUGGAAGAACCGCAGCCCUGUAGCAAUGUAGAACCAGAUGGGUAGUGUCUGGUCAGGGCCCCACUCUAGCCCCCCCUCUGUCUGCUCUCUACUGAGCCUGCCUCUACUUCCUGAUGCCCUAGGCCCUGUUCUUUCUUGAUCUACAUUAGCUACAGCAGCAACAGCUUGGAGACUGGUUUGUUGUUGUUUUGUUUUGUUUUUCCUAUAAAAGAAGUGGGAGAAUGAAGUUUUUCUUUGAGCGGCAGUUUGACUAACAGAGAGUGAGGUUAUAGCACAUUUCUGCAUCUUCUUUAGAACAAUGAGUUACUACAAGAGUUAAUGGGGGAUGAAGCUUGGUAGGAAAAGAUGGUUAACUGACAAUGUAUUAAAAACUUCCAAACUAGAGAGGCCUGCCUACCACUACUGCAGGUGAGCAGGCAUGUGGUGGGGAGACAGGAAAGAGAAGGAAAGACAGGAAAGAGUGGGUUUGUACUAGGAAGAAGGCAGAACUGGAUACUCAAGGGUGGUGAGGAACAGCCUAAUAUGAGUAGCCUGUGCUACCCCCUAAGACCAUGAGUAUGUCCCAUGCUGCCGCAGAGGGCCAUGUCUGGGUCCACGGCUCUACAGUAGCAGGGGUCUGUGUCGAUGGCCACGGCCUAUGUUAACACCAAAGGACGUCCCUGAUUUGGCCUGGAGCUGUGUUGAUAUCUGUGGGCUGCACAGAGGGCCCUGCUCCUCGCCUGGCAGAGGUGGUGUGAGCCCAGAACUAGCAAGCUGACCACUCAUCUACCACCCAGGCCCAGAUCCAUGGCUCUGAGCUGGCCCACCGCAGCAUCUAGUCCAUCAGUGAACCGCUGGAGCCCGUGAAGGGGCCGACUCUCCAGAGCCAAAGUUGCAGGAUCCCCAGAACACAGGACAAGAAGAUAUCCUAGAGAAGUCCUGGUGAGGAUCCAGUAUUGAUGAUGUAACAGGAGCCAGAGUCCUCCAACCAGACCAUUGUAAUGAAUAUUUGCAAGUAAAGCUGUUUUUUUUUGGGGGGGGGGGUGGUAUACAUACCGCAUGACACACCACAGUUUCCAUGGCAAGAUUAUUUUGUUUGCUUUUGUUUUUGCUUUCGUUUAGGGUGGAGGUUACAAGGCAGGAGGGCAGAUACAGAGGGAUGGGGAGUGGAGUGGGAUUGGGGUACCUGAUGUGCAUGAGGUGAAAUUCACAACGAAUCAAUGAAAAGUUUAAAAAAAAAGAGAGAGAGAUUUUCAAAUGAGAGCUGUGCCUGGUGGCUCCUACCUGUAACACCAGCACUCAGAAGAUGGAUCAAGACAAGACUGGAAUCCUUCAGAGGAGUCAGUCUCUCUUCUUGCUCCUGCUCUGUCCUCUCUCCCCUCCUCCUCCCCUCCCCUCCUCUCUCCAUGAGUUCAUGGCCAGCCUCUACUUCUCUACUCUCUCCCUGCCUUUCUCUGAUCCUACUACCCUCUCAACUCCCCUCCCCAUGCCCUGAAUAAACUCUACUCUAUACUAUUAAAAAAAAUAAAAUCAAAAGAGUCUGUCUCAGCAGACCAAAGGCUGGUGAGAUAGCUCAGUGAAAGAGCUCUCGCCUGGCAUUUGAUAAGUCCAACACUGUGCACAGGAAAGAACAUAGGUUCAAAGCCAAUUAUAUCUACUGCUUCUUAUGAAGUACCAUUAGCUGUCUUGUUUAAAACUAGCUUCUCAGAGUCCUCUGCCCCUCAAUUAACCAAUCAAGACGGUGGAGAUGGUUACACAGUGACAUGACUGAGAUCUGAGCAUUUAUGACCAAAUACAAUAAAAAAUAUUGUUUCACCAAUUUAUUAUAUAAGUAUUUGUCAACUGCUAUGGGAGACAAAUGAAGUGAAUCGU